UACCCUCUUUUUACCCUGCCAACUGGAUGUAUGUAAUUACUGGUCAUUCCAGUGGGGCAAAGGAAAUAUCCUUUUUAAAACUCAGGCAAACUCGAUGUUUGUCAUAGUCAUGUAUCCUGUCAGAGAAAACAAAC
ensembl:snoRNA